rnacentral:rRNA from 1 species
UACGUAGGGUGCGAGCGUUGUCCGGAAUUACUGGGCGUAAAGAGCUCGUAGGUGGUUUGUCGCGUUGUCCGUGAAAACUCACAACUCAAUUGUGGGCGUGCGGGCGAUACGGGCAGACUGGAGUACUGCAGGGGAGACUGGAAUUCCUGGUGUAGCGGUGGAAUGCGCAGAUAUCAGGAGGAACACCCGUAGCGAAGGCGGCACUCUGGGCCGAAUACUGACACUGAGGAGCGAAAGCGUGGGGAGCGAACAGG